GAUGAACGCUGGCGGCGUGCCUAACACAUGCAAGUCGAGCGAACAGAUGAGGAUCUCGUUCUUCUGACGUUAGCGGCGGACGGGCGAGUAACACGUGGAUAACCUACCUAUAAGACUGGGAUAACCUCGGGAAACCGGAGCUAAUUCCGGCUAAUAUAUUGAACCACAUGGUUCAAUAGUGAAAGUCGGUUUUUUUGUCUCUUAUAGAUGGAUCCGCGCCGCAUUAGCUAGUUGGUAAGGUAACGGCUUACCAAGGCAACGAUGCGUAGCCGAUCUGAGAGGGUGAUCGGCCACACUGGAACUGAGACACGGUCCAGACUCCUACGGGAGGCAGCAGUAGGGAAUCUUCCACAAAGGGCGAAAGCCUGACGGAGCAACGCCGCGUGAGUGAUGAAGGUCUUCGGAUCGUAAAACUCUGUUAUUAGGAAAGAACAAAUGUGUAAGUAACUAUGCACGUCUUGACGGUACCUAAUCAGAAAGCCACGGCUAACUACGUG
rnacentral:rRNA from 1 species